UACGUAGGGCGCAAGCGUUGUCCGGAAUUAUUGGGCGUAAAGAGCUCGUAGGCGGCUUGUCGCGUCGGUUGUGAAAGCCCGGGGCUUAACCCCGGGUCUGCAGUCGAUACGGGCAGGCUGGAGUUCGGUAGGGGAGAUCGGAAUUCCUGGUGUAGCGGUGAAAUGCGCAGAUAUCAGGAGGAACACCGGUGGCGAAGGCGGAUCUCUGGGCCGAUACUGACGCUGAGGAGCGAAAGCGUGGGGAGCGAACAGG
rnacentral:misc_RNA from 1 species